UACGAAGGGAGCUAGCGUUGUUCGGAAUUACUGGGCGUAAAGGGCGCGUAGGCGGCGUGGUAAGUCACUUGUGAAAUCUCUGAGCUUAACUCAGAACGGCCAAGUGAUACUGCUGUGCUAGAGUGCAGAAGGGGCAAUCGGAAUUCUUGGUGUAGCGGUGAAAUGCGUAGAUAUCAAGAGGAACACCUGAGGUGAAGACGGGUUGCUGGGCUGACACUGACGCUGAGGCGCGAAAGCCAGGGGAGCAAACGGG
rnacentral:rRNA from 1 species